rnacentral:misc_RNA from 1 species
AGAGCGACACUAAGAGAUUCUUCAGCUCUUGAUUGAUUGGCCAACUGUUGAUCACCAGAUACACCUGCUGGUAUUCCAUCAAUAUCAGCACCACCAAAAUUUUUGGAAUCUGAAGCAGAGACAGGGCCUGCACCCAGCCCAUUCCCGACAAUCUCAUCGCUGCUUAUGGCUGGAACAGCAAAGGCUGGGGGAGGCGGCUUCAGCUUCUCCCCCCCAAUGAGCACAAGAUUCCUUGGAGUGUUUCUCUUUUUCAAAGAAAAGAGAGCAA